rnacentral:rRNA from 1 species
GUGUCAGCCGCCGCGGUAAUACGGAGGGUGCGAGCGUUAAUCGGAAUUACUGGGCGUAAAGCGCGCGUAGGUGGCCAUGUAAGUCGGAUGUGAAAGCCCCGGGCUUAACCUGGGAACUGCAUUCGAAACUGUGUGGCUAGAGUAUGGUAGAGGGAAGCGGAAUUCCGGGUGUAGCGGUGAAAUGCGUAGAUAUCCGGAGGAACACCAGUGGCGAAGGCGGCUUCCUGGACCAAUACUGACACUGAGGUGCGAAAGCGUGGGUAGCAAACAGGAUUAGAUACCCUGGUAGUCCACGCCCUAAACGAUGUCAACUAGCCGUUGGGUUCAUUAAAGAGCUUAGUGGCGCAGCUAACGCGAUAAGUUGACCGCCUGGGGAGUACGGCCGCAAGGUUAAAACUCAAAUGAAUUGGCGGGG